AGCAUCUAAGCACGAAACUUGCCCCGAGAUGAGUUCUCCCUGAGACUUAGAGUCUCCUGAAGGAACGUUGAAGACGACGACGUUGAUAGGCCGGGUGUGUAAGCGCAGCGAUGCGUUGAGCUAACCGGUACUAAUGAACCGUGAGGCUUAACCUU
rnacentral:rRNA from 1 species